rnacentral:rRNA from 1 species
UACGUAGGAGGCAAGCGUUGUCCGGAAUCACUGGGCGUAAAGCGCGUGUAGGUGGAGCAGGAAGUCUGCUGUGAAAGCGCCUGGCUUAACCGGGCGAGGUCGGUGGAAACUCCUGGUCUAGAGGCCGGUAGAGGGGGGUGGAAUUCGUAGAUAUCGGGAGGAACACCGGUGGCGAAGGCGGCGACCUGGGUAGAUACUGACGCUGAGGUGCGAAAGCGUGGGGAGCAAACAGG